rnacentral:rRNA from 1 species
GAUGAACGCUAGCUACAGGCUUAACACAUGCAAGUCGAGGUGCAGCAUGACCUAGCAAUAGGAUGAUGGCGACCGGCGCACGGGUGAGUAACACGUAUCCAACCUGCCGAUUAUUCCGGGAUAGCCUUUCGAAAGAAAGAUUAAUACUGGAUAGCAUAACGAGAGGACAUCUUCUUGUUAUUAAAGGAUUUCGAUAAUCGAUGAGGAUGCGUUCCAUUAGUUUGUUGGCGGAGUAACUGCUCACCAAGACAUCGAUGGAUAGGGGUGAUGAGAGGAAGGUGCCCCACAUUGGAACUGAGACACGGUCCAAACUCCUAAGGGAGGCAGCAGUGAGGAAUAUUGGUAGAUGGAAGAGAGUCUGAACCAGCCAAGUAGCGUGAAGGAUGACUGCCCUAUGAGUUGUAAACUUCUUUUAUAUGGGAAUAAAGUGGGCUACGUGUGGCUUUUUGUAUGUACCAUACGAAUAAGGAUCGGCUAACUCCGUG